CCAGAACUGAAUCAGCCAGUGCCAGAGCCUGCUGCAGCCCCGACCCGGCAGAGCAAGCGGCUCUGCUACCUCAGCCACGUAGCUGAUGGCAUCCUUCAGGUUCAGCUCGUGGAAGACAUUCAGGAUCCGGUCUCGAGACUUCUGGGCCGACCGUCUCAUGAGGACCCUGCUGAGGAACUUCCUGUCGAAGUGGGACCACCUGUAGGGACAGACCUUGGGUGUGAGCCUCAGGUGACAGGCGCCCUAGAGCCCGCCGGACGCGUGGCCCGGCCCCUUCUCUCCUGAAUUUUGUUUGCUAUAGUGACCCUGUAGGCGCGUUUAAAAUGAGGGAAGCAGCCCCUGCCACACGCCCAGGCCGUCCGCCGUUCUCCCGCCUGUCCUGUUGGAUGGAGGCCGUUAGACGCAUAUGAAACUGCAUGCCGCCUCCUCCAGAGGGUGGCUCAGGACACGGUGGGUGUCAGGCCUGGUCAGGCAAGGGGGCUUUGGCCACAUGGGGGGCACCUUCAGGUGCACAGGAGGAAGGGCAGGGGCGGACAGACACCCUGAGCCCUUAGACUUGUGGG
rnacentral:lncRNA from 1 species